rnacentral:rRNA from 1 species
GUGAGGAAUUUUCCGCAAUGGGCGAAAGCCUGACGGAGCAAUGCCGCGUGAAGGAUGAAGGCCUAUGGGUUGUAAACUUCUUUUCUUAGAGAAGAAUAUUGACGGUAUCUGAGGAAUAAGCAUCGGCUAACUCUGUGCCAGCAGCCGCGGUAAGACAGAGGAUGCAAGCGUUAUCCGGAAUGAUUGGGCGUAAAGCGUCUGUAGGUGGUUUCAAAAGUCUCCUGUCAAAGAUCAGGGCUUAACCCUGGGCCGGCAGGAGAAACUCUGAGGCUAGAGUUUGGUAGGGGCAGAGGGAAUUCCCGGUGGAGCGGUGAAAUGUGUAGAGAUCGGGAGGAACACCAAAGGCGAAAGCACUCUGCUGGGCCACAACUGACACUGAGAGACGAAAGCGAGGGGAGCAAAAGGGAUUAGAUACCCGAGUAGUCC